GGAAGUAAAAUCGUAACAAGGUUUCCGUAGGUGAACCUGCGGAAGGAUCAUUAACAAAUCUAAAAUACACGUCCCUCCGGGGAUAGACACGAUGAGAGUUGACGAAUGUAUGGACAAAACGAAACAACUUAUAACAAUGGAUCUCUUGGCUCUU
rnacentral:misc_RNA from 1 species